UGUGAACAUUAAAAUAAAAUAAAAUAGAUUAUGGAGGAAUAGAAUACAGAUACGUAGUAAGGUAUUAUUUUCCAGACAAAAUGGAUUUGGAUAAAAGAAUCUAAUUAAGAACUUGUGCAUGAUUCUUUUAAAAUUCUUUUGAAUCCAUUUUUUUUUUUUUGGCCUGUUUUCAAGUCUCCGAUUUUUGUCACCCUUCUCACACCAGGUCAGAGAGAUAGCUAAUGGUCAGAAGGAAUCUUCCAGCAAUGACCAUAGCGCUUUCUCCUGCCUGCAGAUGCCUCUUUUUAUUCAGCCUUUAUGGGAAGUAGCAGCACCAUCCAGUUCUCAGAGAGCAAGCUCUGGAGUAACUGAGCUAACCCCAGUUACCCCAGUGGAUUUACAGAUUGAGGUUACAACCCAGCAGGGUUCUCUUCCUGGAAAGAAUAGCCUUCCCUCUAAGGUUUCAAAUAGACCCUGGGUGAGGAAGGAGCCCUAAACAGCUUGAAAAAUUGAAUGCUCUUUGGGCAAAGCAGGAAGCCGUCCUAUGGAAGAGCAUCAUUUGAGCAUAAAUCAGGUUAUCAGGACAAACAGAGUGUUCAGGAGGUCAAGAUGGUUAAGCAGAGACCCUGACCAGAAUGUCCGUGGCGGAGAGAAACAAUCUUGUUGGGAAAAGGAUGACAAUAAUUGGGGACUUAGAAUAAAGGCUAAAAAUGAUUCAAAGAGAAUGCAAAAAGAAUCAGGCACAAAUCGUUUACUAUACUCUGUUAUGCAAAUCUCACCUUACUAUGUGUUUGUAUUCUAUUCCUCCACAAUCUUUAUUUUAUUUUAAUGUUCAAAGAGACUUGUAGGUGCCAAUUAAAUGAACAAAACAGCCAGAGACAACAGAACUGCCCUAAAAAAAGUCCCGCAUCAGCUCUUGAGAGCAGGUUCCUUAAAGGUGAACAAUAUUCCACAUACAAGGACUUUUUCAGCACCAUGCAUUAGAAAUGGAAGUGAAUGUUUAUUAUUUUUUGUAUAAGUUGGUUGAUAUGGCUUUUCAGCUUCCCUCAGUAUCAUUAUCCAAAUUUUGUAGAUGACACUAAAGCUCAGAGGAGUUAAACCAUUUUCCUUAAAUCACAUAGCUUUAAAUAGGAAAACCAGAUAUGAAAAGCAGAUUUUUUUUCUAAAUUAAAAAACCAAAAACAAAAACACGUGAGCUCUUGCUUUACCCUAGCACAUAGUCUUGCCAUCUGUUUUCUCCACACCAGGUGAUUCCUGUAACAUUCAUUCACAUAACAAAUACAAAUAAAUGAGUGGAUUCAUUCAUCAGAUAUUAAUUCAGAAUCCCUUUUGUGCCUUCCAGAAAUCUGGACCAUCUCACAACCCCCAGAGAGUCUCAGCUACAAGGAACAAGUGAUAAUGCCAUCCCACUUUUAUAAACACACACACACACACAUGCAAUACACACACAAUCAUUUAAUCAUUUUUAAUUAUUUAAUUAUUUUUUAAAAAUCAGUGACACUUUAGCUGGGCAGGUCUAGAUAGGUCUUCUUUGCUGGGACGUGUCUUUUUCUGUCCUGGAAUACCCUAAACUUCACAUUUUGGCAGCGUGAGUUUUCCCUUUGUGACUUUCUCCUUCUUCCCUUUUUUCCUCCUUCUUUGCAGAGAAUGAGUAGCCACUGCACCUUGCCCUGCGCCAUCAAUGAGAAGAUCUGCUCUUAGUAGAGCCCUGCUUUCCCGCUGAAGGCCCUGAAAUCACCUGUGUUCCAGGCCACCCACUAAGGAUAAACAAAGCUUCCCUGAUAUGGGGAAUUAGCUCAAGUGGUAGAGCGCUUGCUUAGCAUGCAAGAGGUAGUGGGAUCAAUGCCCACAUUCUCCAAGCUUUAUUAUUUAGGUACCCAAACCCGAGUCAGUGUCUGAGAGCAAGACACUGCUCUCGGUGUCUUUGGUUCAAGACAUAGGAGCAGCAACAAUACAGGACUGGUGACAGCUUCCUGCUGGCAUUCAGUAUAGUGUAGAUCUACUGUGUAAUUAAUUUUCUGUUUCUUCGAGGAGCUGUGAAACCAAAGGACAUAUAAAACUGCUCUUUUCUCCCUGUUUCUGCCUGCAGCUUGGUCCUAAAUGUGAGACAAUUGUGAAAAGUGGAGGACAGAGCCACCUGGUUAAAUACAGCCCCAGCUUUCUGGUGAGAGGACUGAAACCAAGAUGUGUCAAGUAACUAGAAUGUGCCUGGACAGAUACUGUAGAAAGCAAAACCAUAAAGUUGUUCAUGAGCUUGUGGACGCACCUGCCAGCUGUGAAUAAGUGGCUCUAAUCCCGAACAACUUACCUAAAAAGAGCCUGAGAGCUGAACUGUGCAAUGGCCCACUUUCCAGUCCUCACUGACCACUGGGUUGCACACACUUUGGAGAUCUCUGAACAGCAGUGUCAAGGCUUUCAAAUAGAGUUAUCUUUGAAACGACAACACAUGAAAGUCUGGUUGGUACUUGGAGCUUAAAUACAAGGCAAUUGUGUGCCUGCAAAAACAAAAAUAGCAAUAUUAUCCUUAAGAUUUCAACAAGACACAGUGUCUCAUCACAUAAUCCAAAGAAGUCCAGGUUACAAGCCCCACAAUAUUCAGCAUUAUGAAAAAACAGGGAGAUCUUAAUUCACAUGGCAAAGAGAAUCCUCGAAUAACAAUAUUGAGAGGACACAGAUGUCAAAAUCAUCUGACACAUACAUUAAAGCAGAUAUUAUAACAAUGCUCCUAGAAUCGGGGAUAACAUUCGUGAAGUGAAUGGAAAGUUGGAAAGUCUCACCAAAUAUUUCGAAUACAUAAACACCAAUUUAAACUUAAGAAUUAAAAAAAUGUAUUAACCAAAACUCUUAGGGGAAAUAAAAAGCUUAAUUGGAGGAUCUCCAUAAUCGAAUGCAGAAGACUAAGGAAAAAGUCAAUGAACUUGAAAACAGAACACGAAUACCUACAUAAUCUGAACUAUAGAGAGAAAGGAGGAUUUUAUUGUCUCUGAACAGAGGCUCAGGCACAAAUAAAAAAUAACAAAUCCAACAUUCACAUUAUUGUAAUCUGGAAAGAAGAGGACAAAGUGGUCUUUGUGGGAUAAAACUUUGAACAAUUAAUAGCUGAAAAUGGUUCAAAUUUGUCAAAAGAUAUAAACCAGAUUUUUAAAGUUCAGUAAAUGUCAAUCAGGAUAAACCCAAAGAAACCCAUAGCAAGGCAUAUCAUAAUCAAACUGCUGAAAACUAAGAAAAUACAAAACAAUUUUGAAAGCAGCCAAAGGGAAAUGAAAGAGAAACUACCAAAUGAAUGAUUGUAGAUUUCGCAUCAGGAACCAUAGGGGCCAGAAAAAAUGUCAUAACAUUCGGUAAGUAACAAAAGAAAAAGACAUAUCGACCCAGAAUGCUAUGUGGAGCAAAAGUAUCUUCCAGACAUAAAGGCAAAUAAAUGCAUUCUCAGUGGAAGGUAAGUAAAUACAUUCUCAUUCUUAGGAAGACUGCUGGAAAAGAAUUAGCAAAGAUUUGAGAUAAGAAAAAUGAUACCAGAAGGAAACUUAGAACAUCAUCAGUGAAGGAACAAAAGCAGAAAUAGAACAUGUCUGGGUAGACAUAACAGACUAUUAUUCUUCCCUUGAGUUCCUUAAGGUAUGUUUGAUGAUUGAAAGCAAAAAUUGUAACUUUAUCAGAAGCAGUUGUCAUUGUAUCUAGAUGUACUACAUACAGAAGAUAAAAGGGUAAGUGUAAUGGGACUAACUCUUGAUGAAGUUUCUUUAUUCAACUUGAAUGGUAAAAUAUUGAUUCUAAGUAUACUGUGAAAGGUUAUAUAUGUAUAUGGUAAACCCUAGACCACCUACUAACAAGAUUUAAAUAAACCAAAACAAGAUAGAAAGAGGAACAUAGAUGAAUUAAAACAAAGGGAAACAAGGUUAAUACAUUAUUAAAUAAUAGACCUAUCUAAAAACUUAUCUAUAAUGACAUUACAUGUAAAUAAUCUAAACGCAUUAAUUAAAAACUAGAGAUCAUCAGAAUGUGUUAAAAAUAAAUAUGCUGACUAAAGAAAGCCACCUGCUAUACACUUAUAUAUAAGAAUAAAAGUUAUAGAGCAGAUUGAAAGAAAAGAGUGGGAAAAGAUACCUCAUGCAAGCACUAAUCAAAGACAGCUGUGAUGUAUAUAUAAAAAAAUCAGACAAAGUACAUUUGAAAGCAGAGAAACUUUUCAGGAAUAAUGAGGCCUGCUAAAUAAUUAUGAUUGUCAAUUUUCCAGGGGAAUAUUGUCCCAAGUGUAUAUGAGAACAUAGAGCUUCAAAACUCAUAAACAAAAUUGGAUACGCAAGGUAAAAACAGAAAAAUCCAAUUAGAGUUGCCGACACUAACACUCCUCUCUCGGUAAUUGGUAGACUUAGUAGAAAACAAAUCAGCAAACAUAUUGGAGAAUUAAACCAUACCAUCCAGUAAUGGACCUAUUAACUUCAUAAUGCAAAAUAAAAAUUUAGGUAGAAGGCAAAGACAAAAGUUAAAAGAAAAGUAAAGAUCAUGUUAUAACCAGGAAAUUAAGAGUAGUCCAGCAUAUAGAAGAGUGCUAUUAUUGGAAGAGUUAUUUAGUUAUUUUGAGACAUUUUUUGAAAGAGUUAUUUAGCUGGAAAUGACAGAAAGACUGAAAAUGGUGAAUCUGGAGGUGGAUCUCCCCUUGUCCAUAUUUAUUUUGUCUUUUUUUGAGGUCUAGGGUGUCUAUACUUCCUCUGAAUUACCUACAGUGUCUGGCACAGAGCAUCUCCCCAGUGAAUAUGUAUUAAAUGAGUAGAAAGUAAUUUAUAGAUUCAAAAGAACUGGGCAAGAAUAAUGUUCAUUAUUUGACAAAUCCUUGAAUGUAGUGUUUGAAGGAAGACAAUAAGUCAAAGUUGACUUGAAAGGUAAGCCCAAGUCCAGACUCUUUUCUGUAAUCCCAGCACUUUGAGAGGCCGAGAUGGGCAGAUCCCGUGACACCAGGAGUUUGAGACCAGCCUGGACAACACAGUGAAACCCUGUCUCUACAAAAAAUACAAAAAUUAGCCAGGUGUGGUGGUAUGCAUCUGUAGUUCCAGCUACUCAGGAGGCUGAGGUGGGAGGAUCGCUUGAAUCUGGGAGGCGGAGGUUGCAGUGAACAGAGAUUGCACCGGUGCCUGGACAACAAAGUGAGACCCUGUCAUAAAAUAAAAUAAAAUAAAAUAAAAUAAAAUAAAAUAAAAUAAAAUAAAAUAAAAUAAAAUAAAAUAGUUAAACCCAGGCCGGGAGGGGUAGCUCACACAUGUAAUCACAGCACUUUGGGAGGCUGAGGUGGGCGGAUCACCUGAGGUCAGGAGUUUGAGACCAGCCUGGCCAACAUGGUGAAACCCCAUCUCUACUAAAAAUACAAAAAUUAGCUGGGCGUGGUUGCAAGCACCUGUAGUCCCAGCUACUCAGGAGGCUGAGACAGGAGAAUUACUUGAACCUGGGAGACAGAGGUUGCCGUGAGCCAAGAUCUCACCAGUGCAGUACAGCGUGGGUGACAGAGCAAGUAAGUAAAGAGGAGGUUUGGAAUUAGAUAUUUGGUGUAUGAAUGAAUGGGCUAAAGUGCAAAAGAACAGGCAGAAUAACUGAGCUGGUACAGAGGAAAAAAAUCACACUUAAAAUCUAAAAGUAUCUGCUUCUCAAUUUGGGCUUUCCCACUUAGCAGCUUUGACACCUUAGAAAGAACACUUAACUUACCUGAGCUUCUAUUACUUCUAAAAAGUGCAUAAAGUGCAGGCUAAGACAUAGUUUUUUUGGCAAAAUUCAGUCAGACUACAUCAAGUAAACUCCCUAAGUCUCCUAGUAUAAUUCAUGGCACAAAAACUGGGGAAAAAACAGGGAGGAUAUGUUUAUAAGUUCAGUUUGGGUUUUUUGUUGAGUGAAUGUCUCCAGUCAUAGAGAUGCAAGUGUAGAUACACCGUAAGAGUAGUAUGAACAGGAGACACCUUGGAAGGCUAUUUCUUCCUUCAUUCAUUCAGUUGGUCACUCAAUGAACUAUCAUGAAUUGAGCACUACCUCUGUUUCUUAUCAACAAAGGAGACUACGGAAAAGAAGAGUGACUAAGAUCUCUGAAGAAGGGAAAAGCUAGAUGACUGGGCCACAAGAGGAAAAAAAGCAGCAAGACAGACAAUGAGUAGCCACUGCUGUUUGCCCUGGCCCAUCAAUGAGAAGAUCUGCUCUUAGAGCCCUGCUUUCCUGCUGAAGGCCCUGAAAUCACCUGUGUUCCAGGCCACCUGCUAACAAUAAAUAAUGCUGCCCUGAUGUGGGGAAUUAGCUCAAGUGGUAGAGCGCUUGCUUAGCACGCAAGAGGUAGUGGGAUCGAUGCCCACAUUCUCCAAGCUUUAUUAUUUAGACAUCGUGUCUCCAAACACUCAGGUCUCCAAACCCAAGUUAGUGUCUGAGAACAGGAUGCUGCUUUGGUUCAAGACGUAGGAGCAGCAAUAAUAGAGGGCUGGUGAUGGCUCCCUCUUGGCAUUCAGUAUAGUGUAGAUCUACCAUGUAAUUAAUUCUCUGUUUCUUUGAGGAGCUGUGAAACCAAGGGACAUAUACAACUGCUCUUUUCUCCCUGUUUCUACCUGCAGCUUUGUCCUAAAUGUGAGACAAUUAUGAAAAGUGCAGCGCAGAGCCACUUGGGUAAAUACAGCCCCGGCUUUCUGCUCAGGGGACAGAGUUUGAGGCACUGCAGAGGAACCGGCCAAAGUAUGAGACCCAUAUAUUGAGAGUAACAGAGUGUAAAGUUCAAAAAAAUCAAAAUAUUUAAAGAUUUAUCAUGGGUCUUGAUGACAUGAUGGAAUCUCUCUACUCUCUGGACUUAUUAUGUGUGGUAAUAAAUUUACUUUUUAAAAGCCAGUUGAGUGUUUUUAAUGUUGUGGAGCUAUUGCUAAGAGUUUCCUGAGUUUUUUCCAGUAAUGUAGAGAUCUUUGUGCUAAAUAUUUCAUAAAGAAGUUUGGUGGGUUAUGUGUUCUAAAUCCUAAUCACUGGCAUUAACUCAAACCAGCCAUAUAAAAGGUAUGAAAAAUGUCUGUCUGGCGUGCACUUGGUUCACUGAGCUUUUGCUUUCCUGUCAGCAAAUUAGACAUUCUCCUCACUUAGGAGGCCAACUUCUCAGCCACUGGCUCCAGCCUAGCCCUAUGGUCUGUCAGUGGCUUUAGAUUUAAUUGACACAUGCCCAGCCCCAACUCUCUCCUGCCUUAAGGAUAUAAGAGCCAUUGUGAGCCGCAAAGUUAUUAUAUCCGAGAACCCAGAAA
rnacentral:lncRNA from 1 species